AUCACUUCUUGGCCUUUUGGCUAAGAUCAAGUGUAGUAAAUGUUUCCACUACCUACCGCACAAGAUGGUAUGGGAUGCUUUGGUUUUAAAUCCACAACCACCCCAC
ensembl:snRNA U2 U2 spliceosomal RNA